rnacentral:rRNA from 1 species
AAUAUUGCGCAAUGGAGGGAACUCUGACGCAGCGACGCCGCGUGAGCGAUGAAGGUCNNNGGAUCNUCAAGCUCUGUCCUUGGNGACNAAGGGAGCCGUAAGGCUUCUUGACGGUACCCAUGGAGGAAGCCCCGGCUAACUACGUGCCAGCAGCCGCGGUAAUACGUAGGGGGCAAGCGUUGUCCGGAAUUAUUGGGCGUAAAGGGUGCGUAGGCGGCCCUUUAAGUCAGAUGUGAAAGCCCACGGCUUAACCGUGGGACUGCAUUUGAAACUGGAGGGCUUGAGUGUCGGAGAGGGCAGUGGAAUUCCCAGUGUAGCGGUGGAAUGCGUAGAUAUUGGGAGGAACACCAGUGGCGAAGGCGACUGCCUGGACGAUAACUGACGCUGAGGCACGAAAGCUAGGGGAGCAAACA